CCUACGGGAGGCAGCAGUGAGGAAUAUUGGUCAAUGGGCGCGAGCCUGAACCAGCCAAGUAGCGUGAAGGAUGACUGCCCUACGGGUUGUAAACUUCUUUUAUAAAGGAAUAAAGUGAGGCACGUGUGCCUUUUUGUAUGUAAUUUAUGAAUAAGGAUCGGCUAACUCCGGGCCAGCAGCCGCGGUAAUACGGAGGUUCCGAGCGUUAUCCGGAUUUAUUGGGUUGAAAGGGAGCGUAGAUGGGUUGUUAAGUCAGUUGUGCCAGUUUGCGGCUCAACCGGAAAAUUGCCAUUGAUACGGGCAGUCUUGUGUACAGUUGAGUUCGGCGGCCUUCGUGGUGUCGCGG
rnacentral:rRNA from 1 species